CAAUUGUUUUUGGAAAGAUACCCCAAUCACGUUUCCAUUACUCCUAAAUUACAUAUUCUUCUUUGAUUAUCUUGAAAUGAAACCACCAUUCGCAAUCCAAUUUGUCAAACAAUUUCUACACGGAUGAACAAUUCGUUUCUAAACCCUAGGUAUCCCUUUCGUCUUCCUUCAGACCGGUUCAAGCAUCUGCAAUCAAAAUUAUUCAAGGAUCCUUUCCAACGCUCCCGUCAUCUUUCACAAUGAAAUCAAAUCUUUGAUCAAGUCUCCAAUUCCAGUGUUUCUCAUCCAGGUAACAAGCAAUUUUUGUGUUUUGAAAUAUUUAUGUUCAUCGUUUGUUUGUUAACAGAUCUAGGGUUUUUGCGUUGAAGUUUCUCCACCUCCCAUGUGUUUCCAGUUAUCUAUCUAUCUAUCUAUCUAUCCAUCUACCUCUACCUGAGAGCAUUCUUAGAAAUUUAAGGUAAUGAUGUUGGAUGACCGUAUAUAGAGCAUGAGGAUGCUUAUCUUUUUCAAGAUACCAUCUGACAAAGACUACUCUGAGUUUCAAUAUGAUUUAUUUUUAUUCUGUUGUGUGCUGAUAAGGUUCAACAUGGAUAGUUUUUACAUGUGUAUACAAGUCAUUUUUUUAAUGGAGAUAUAGACAACUGGAACUACAUACACUAAUUUAUUACUUUAUAAUCAGGUCUCAUUUCACUCUUUGAACCAACUAUGCAAGCUCGCUUUGCAUGUCUUAUGUCUAGCAAGUAUCUCGGACAUAGCUGCCUACUACAUGUGGUAUUACAUGUGUUCCAAAUGCCCAAAAAUGGUUUACCCCAAGAACAAUCAUUUUGUGUGUGCAGACCACGAUAUCAUACCUUAUCCCAAGUACAUGUAUUGUGUAAACGCCACGAUAAAUGACCACACUUCAGACGAUUAAGUGUAUUCUUAAGUGAGGCGAUGAUGACUUAAGUGAGGCGAUGAUGACUGAUAUUUCAAGCAUAAAUUGUACGCUGAUGAUGCACUUCUUAUUGAGCAUUGGUCUAUAAGAGGUUUGGCCGAUCUUCUUAGGAGUUGGUUAGAUGUGUGUAAAGCAUAAUUGCCUAAACAUUUUGGCAUAUAUAGAAGUACCGAAGGCCCUCUUGGAAGGCGAUUUAAGACUUUAAGUGGUGUGCCUCGUGACAGUCAAACUUAGUGUGAACUCAUAAAGAGGAGCUCAUCUUUUAAGAGGUGAGAUUCAAUAUGCGCAAGGUAACUAAAGGAAAUGUAACGAUAAAGUCGUGUGGAUCUUGGAGGGCAACCAUGAUUUUGAAGUGUGUGCGAGAGAUAUUGUUGUGCAGUUUCUGCUAUCAUGUAAAAUAUUUUCACGAAAAUACUUUUAUGAAAAAAAUUUACUUGUGAUUUGUGAAAAAUAGCUUCUCCCACGCGACCUCUUCUUCACCUUCCUAGAUUUAUCAAUGGGACGACGCUAUUCACCAGAUGCAGCCGGUUUCUCAUCACAAGCCCUAGCGAUUAAGGCAACAAAUGUGAUCAAUUUCAGCUUUCUUUUACUUUACAAAUGAUUUUAUCUUGAAAUACGGUGACUUAUUCAACUUAUUACAUGAUUAUCUUGAAAUACGGUAGACUUUCUCAACUUGAAUCAAAUUCAUAUGAAUCAAUUGUUA